rnacentral:tRNA from 1 species
AAGAAAGUAUGCAAGAACUGCUAAUUCAUGCACCCAUACCUAAACA